CGGAUGACGUAAAAGGAAAGAGACGGAAGAGGAAGAAUUCUACCUGAGUUUGCCAUAAAGUGCCUGCCCUCUAGCCUCUACUCUUCCAGUUGCGGCUUAUUGCAUCACAGUAAUUGCUGUACGAAGGUCAGAAUCGCUACCUAUUGUCCAAAGCAGUCGUAAGAAGAGGUCCCAAUCCCCCACUCUUUCCGCCCUAAUGGAGGUCUCCAGUUUCGGGUAAAAGUUUCAUUUGAUCUGAAUAGUAUUAAAAUAAAAUACCUGGAUGAGGAAGAUGAAGAGGGUGCUGGAAGCCCAGGAAGCACACAUCAAGGCUCCCUUGCCAGCAGGGUGCUGCCAAUAAAAGGUAGUCACGUGGAAUUUGGAAUGUGGAAAGGAGGUAGAAGUCAUCCUUUCCUCCCCUGUAGCAGCAGGCGUGCAGGCUCUGGUGGUCAGCUGGACUCCAUACUCCCCCACCAGUCACCAGCCUGGGGACCGUGGGGCUGCAAGGACCUCAGCAGCGGUGUCCCAAGUUUCCUGACUUCUUCCAUCCUCUGGAAAUCAGCUGUGGUUUGCUGAGGAUAAUGGCCUCAAGAUCCAUCUGUGUUCCUACAAAAGAGAUGAUCUUGUUCUUUUUUAUGAUUGCACAUCUUUUGUUCUAACGUUUGGUCCUUCACCUUGGUUCCUGACACAAGGAUUCCUAAAUCCCUUGGAAUUUUCUGCAUGAUAGGAGCGUCCUUUGUUCUCAUGAGGUGACUCUUGGUGGGCUCCUUAUUUGGGGACUGGUCACCAAAAAUACCUAACUAUGGUUGGAAGCUUAGUGCUUUCAGCCCCAUUCCCCAUCCUCUGGGGUGGGGAGCAGAGCUGGAGCUCGAUCAUGCCUGCGUGACAAAGCCUCCAGAAAAAUCCUUGAAAGACAGGACAUGGAGAGCUGCUGGGUUGGCGAACACAUCCAUGUGCCGGGAGGAUGGUGCACCCCAACUCCACAAGGACCCUUCCAGACCUCACCCUGUGUAUCUCUUCAUCUGGCUGUUCAUUUGAGCAGCUCCGAGGGCAGGCAUGGUGGCUCAUGCCUGUAAUCCCAGCACUUUGGGAGGCCGAGGCAGGUGGUUCAUCUAAGGUCUGGAGUUCGAGACCAGCCUGGCCAACAUAGCGAGAGCAGCUCCGGUGGCGGGAGGAGUGGCAGCGGCCAGGCAGCCCAGCUUCGCGAAGGCUGUAGGCACACCGCGGCCAGCAGGCACCUGGCACCCACCUUCCCUGCUGCCAGGAUGCCCAAGAAAAAGGUCAGCUCCACCGAAGGGGCUGCCAUGGAAGAGCCCAAGAGGAGAUCAGCGCAAUUGUCAGCUAAACCUCCUGCAAAAGUGGAAGCGAAGCCGAAAAAGGCAGCAGCGAAGGAUAAAUUUUCAGACACAAAAGUGCAAAAAAAGGGAAAAGGGGAGCAAAGGGAAAACAGGCCGAAGUGGCUAACCAAAAAACUAAAGAAGAUUUACCUGCAGAAAACAGGGGAAACGAAAACUGAGGAGAGUCCAGCCUCUGAUGAA
rnacentral:lncRNA from 1 species